rnacentral:rRNA from 1 species
AAGGGUUUCCCCCGGUACACGACGAGGCGAGAGGAAGGGUAGCUCCGACACCCUCCCGGAAGGUCAGGUGGCACCCACAGGCGCCACCGCGCCGGUGUUGGCCAUGCCGACAGGGGUUUCCCCCGAUCCCAACCCGCACCUCGGGCGCCCCGGAGCCUGCCACCAAACCAACCACCAUCGUGCGCCAACGCGGUCUUGAGGCCCCCACGCCGUCUCAC